rnacentral:rRNA from 1 species
UACGAAGGGGGCUAGCGUUGCUCGGAAUCACUGGGCGUAAAGCGCACGUAGGCGGAUUGCUAAGUCAGGGGUGAAAUCCUGGAGCUCAACUCCAGAACUGCCUUUGAUACUGGCGAUCUCGAGUCCGGGAGAGGUGAGUGGAACUGCGAGUGUAGAGGUGAAAUUCGUAGAUAUCGCAAGAACACCAGUGGCGAAGGCGGCUCACUGGCCCGGUACUGACGCUGAGGUGCGAAAGCGUGGGGAGCAACAGG